UGGGGAAUAUUGGACAAUGGGCGAAAGCCUGAUCCAGCCAUGCCGCGUGUGUGAAGAAGGUCUUCGGAUUGUAAAGCACUUUAAGUUGGGAGGAAGGGCAUUAACCUAAUACGUUAGUGUUUUGACGUUACCGACAGAAUAAGCACCGGCUAACUCUGUGCCAGCAGCCGCGGUAAUACAGAGGGUGCAAGCGUUAAUCGGAAUUACUGGGCGUAAAGCGCGCGUAGGUGGUUUGUUAAGUUGGAUGUGAAAUCCCCGGGCUCAACCUGGGAACUGCAUUCAAAACUGACUGACUAGAGUAUGGUAGAGGGUGGUGGAAGUUCCGGUGUAGCGGUGAAAUGCGUAGAUAUAGGAAGGAACACCAGUGGCGAAGGCGACCACCUGGACUAAUACUGACACUGAGGUGCGAAAGCGUGGGGAGCAAACA
rnacentral:rRNA from 1 species